rnacentral:rRNA from 1 species
UCGAGAAUCUUCGGCAAUGAGCGCAAGCUUGACCGAGCGACGCCGCGUGCGGGAUGAAGGCCUUCGGGUUGUAAACCGCGAAAGUAGGGAGGAAAUUGCUAGGGGUUCUCCCCUAGUAUUGACCUAUCUUCAGUAAGGACGGGCUAAGUUCGUGCCAGCAGCCGCGGUAAUACGAACCGUCCAAACGUUAUUCGGAUUUAUUGGGCUUAAAGGGUAUGUAGGCGGCCCUUCAAGUCGGGUGUGAAAGCCCUCGGCUCAACCGAGGAACUGCGCCCGAUACUGUAGGGCUUUGAGGGAGACAGAGGUAAGCGGAACUGAUGGUGGAGCGGUGAAAUGCGUUGAUAUCAUCAGGAACACCAGUGGCGAAAGCGGCUUACUGGGUCUCUUCUGACGCUGAGAUACGAAAGCUAGGGGAGCGAACGGGAUUAGAUACCCCGGUAGUCCUAGCUGUAAACGAUGAGCACUUGAUCGUGGGGCCCCCACUAGCCUCUCGGUCGCAGCGAAAGUGGUAAGU